AGCAUUUUAUUUGGCAGCGUUUAGAAGUCUUCGGUUCCCAGAACACGUUUACUGACCACUUCGCCCUUUUGUAGGUGCACGGAUUUGUUUACUUGACCCGUUUCCUCUUCCAUAGGGCAGAUAGCCGAUAGGUACCUACGUUUCUGAUUUGUGUUAAUUCCGGGUCCCUCUGGUUCAGCUGGAUGUGUAUGUCUUUCUCUCUCUCCAUAUUUGUUUUCAAAUUCUGGAUCUGUCUCAAAAUUCUUUUCCUCUUCCUGCUCCGUGAACGAAACUCUACCCUCUUCUCUGUUCUCCCCUCAAUUUCGGCAUUCACCUCUCCUUCCUUCUCCGCCAACGGUUACAACUUUAACCACCCCACCAUCUACCUUUGCCGGAGCCAAAGCCCCGGCACCGUCCCUGAAAAGCCGACCCAACGCUGUCCGGAGCUCGACGACUAUGCUCUGCAUAAUCUCGAUUGGAACUCCAUCAUGAAUGACACCGGCGACAUGUACUGUUACAACUUCAACUACCCCACCAUCGACAACCACCACAAUAACAACAUCAACGGCUUAGAUUCUAUCAUCGUAGAUCUCAUCCGCACCGGCGAUCGCUUCGACACCAACCGGCGCAGGUGAUAUUGGCGUGGAUCAAUCAAGGCUACGAACUCCCACCGGAAAGCCCCUUCAGCGAGCGGCGUUUCACUUCAGUCCCUUUUCUCCGGUUUGAACCCGCCGCCAUUCACCUCUCCUUCCUUCUCCGGUGGCGCCCGAUCAUGAACGGUGCUUCCGAAAAAUCCAUCAGUAAGAUAUUCUCCUCCUCCUACCUUUUGCUCAUUUAUCUUUGACCAUUUUCUUCUCAACCUUUCUAAUUUCUUUCGUUCUCUCUGAGGGUGAUUGCAGAGCACUUGACAGUAGAAGAAGCUGCUAGCAGGGUUAUUGAAAAGGAAUUGGCAAAAAUCAUUGAAACAAAAAGAAAAUUAAAACAAAGAAUAUGAUAUUUUAGAUUAUAGUUUCUGGUUUUGUAUUGUGUUUUAUCUUAAUAUAUAAGUAGCUAGCUAUUUCAAUUUGUGGAGUCUUUGCUGUUAUCUUCAUGUAAAGUGAUAUGUGAAAAGUCUUUCUAUAUAUGCAUGGCUAAUCAGAUUUUGUCAGCGGUUUUAGCAACGAUGGUGAAUGAGUUUAGUUUUUGCAUUCAUUUUUCAGGGUAUUGGUAUUAAGGAAAGGUAUUACCUUGUGCUGAGACAGAAGCUUUGAGGGUUCUUUGUGUGAUCCUGUUAAUUCCUCACCAUGAUGUUUUGUCAUGCUUUAUUAUGUAAUCUGACAUUCUUAGUAAAACCUUGGUUUUUUCCUGUAAAUAUUGCAGGGCUUUUCCAUAGGAUCGAGAUGCACAGAUUGAAAGCAUUUUGACAGAACAUUGCAGAUCGAUGAACUCUUACAUGUGAUAUGGACGGAUCUCUAGCCUUUUCAUGGAUCACGAACAUAGAACUUUGAGCUCCAUCAGAUAUGGUCGGUUCAUGCUUCCUGAAUCUGGGUUUUGUUCAAAUGAGGGCCUGAAGAUCUGUAUAUCUCAAGACUGAGAGAUCAAAGAUGGUAUGUCUAAAGGUCUUCUCAAGGAAUCCAGCAAGAAUCAAUAUUUAUUUACUUCAAUGGAGUAAAAUAAAAAACCUGCAAGGUUGACAUAAAUGUUUGUUGCCUUAUUCUAUGAGUAUAUGGCUGUUCAAAUACAGGUACGUUUAUUUGGUCCUUGCUUGCUCUCUUUUGCUUUGUAUUGUCAGUGGUCCUUAGUUUCCAUAUCAGUGUCAUCUUACACUGAUGUUUAAACUAUUUUUAUUUUAGUUCUAUCUCUUAAAAUUAAAUUUAUUAGCACUGAAUUUUCUAUAAUAAUAUGAGAGGUUGAAAUAUAUAGAUUGUUGUUGGGAGAAGGAUCAUCUGUACUUCGUUUCUGACGUGCUGCUCUCUGUCUUGGUUUCCCUUGCAAUAAUUUGUAAGAUAAAAUGCAUAGAUGUACUGAAUAGUGGCUCAUAUCUGCAUAGUAUCUAUAAUAGAUACAAAGGACUAGCUUGGCUGUCUUCUCUAUGAUCUUGAAGGCUUGGCCAAGGCUUUCGCUUGCAUCUGAUAAGUCAUUUCACGAUCGAUGAGACCAUUUUUAAUCUAUAAAAUGGAGGCUGCAGAAAAGCUCUCUUGCUCGCUUGCCUACUCCACUGCCGCCUGCCGCCCAAGAUGUUGUUUUUGUUCAUUCUGAUUUUGAAGUGUUGAAGUAGAGUUUGUGAAGGUAAUAAGGAUAAUAUAGUCAAAGAAUCAAUGUUUCACCAACUUUAAUUUACCACACACCCUUGAAAUAGUUCUCAUGGAUGCCAAGCUAUGUUUAAAAUUCAUAUUUCAUUUUUUACUGGGUACACCUAAGACAUACUUAAUUUUCUGGUCUAUCAUAGGGAAAUAAGAUUCACGCUACCACCAAGAAGAAAUGGUAAGGACAUAAUUCAAAUCCAUGAGUUAGAGAUAAUUGAUAUUUUGGACAUAUUCACUUCCUCUACUCAUGGCUUUCGUUUCUGUUUCCAUUCCACUGCAUAAUUCUUUUCUAAAAUCUUGAUAUCUGCUGUGAAUCCAGAUCCAGAUGGAUGAGAUUAAUACACUAUUUUAUCGGUUAAGCCCGUACCUAUGUGAUUUUUUAUUAUUAGUUUGUAAUUUCAGAUGCUAACUUAAUACAUUGUUCCCAAACUCUUAUUUUCCUUAUGUUAAAAUCUGAAUCAUGUAUUAGACUAUUCCUCUUCUCAUUAACCAUGUGUGUAUUUUUGCUGCAGAUGAGCCCUAUGAUUCAUCAGGUACUAUUUCUUUAUCACACAUUGGGUUUUACAUGGUGAAAGCUGCACAAGAAGAGAAUUUUAAACGGAUGAACCAGUAAAUAUCUAGAUUAACCCUUUCUUCUCAUCUUCAAUGUUUAAAAAGUCAUUGUUUAAUGGCUUUUUAUUUUCUCUCUGAAAUAGCAUUCACCAUUGCAGAAGAUUCAUAUGCAUUGCUCCUUUAUGCUAUUGAGUAUCUAUUUCUACUUAUAUUAAGUAUCUAUUUAUGGUUUUCAAUUUAUAUGAAGUUGUAUGUAUGUUGGAGUUAAAAUAUACCCUCUUUGAACAAUGCCUUGCAAAUACAGUUAGGAGAAAAAUGCAAGAUUGACCGUUCGUGAUUAUGAGUACAUUGAUGUCAACUUUUCAGGAAAUGGCUACAUCAUUGUAUGUUCCCUUGCUACUGAGUUCAAAAUAUCUCAUCCCACAUAUCACUAUACUUUCUUGGUAGAGAUUUUACCACUGAUAUUUGUUUGUUAAAUGGAAGAGCUGAAGCGAGUUGUGAGGCUAUUGUGCAGUGCACUUAAGGGAUCCAUGGAAAGAAUGGAGCUGCAAUUAAGCGAGAUGAGGAGCAGUGUUUGGAGUUGUCUUAAUAUAGUUUCGGAUUUAGGUUCAAGUCAUAGGGCCCUACGGUCACUGUGAGAUAGUUUGUAUACCAAUUAGUCAGUUAUGUGUGUAUCAAUUUGUUGAUCUUUGGUCCGUUUUGUUGACCUUUUUUCAAAUUGUCAAUUUGUUUAUCAUUGUCACGGUUGUCCAAGGAUAUAUUCCUUUCCCUGGAUGACUACCAAAGUGAUGAAGUAAUUAAUUUAAUAAUCUAAUCAAGAAUGCUUAGAAAAGAUUGUGGCCUAUCGAUUAUUACAUGUUGUAUAUCGGUUAUUUUUAGAGGUUUGCAGGUGAUUUUUCAGUAUGUCA